CAGUCGCCACGGUAAUACGGAGGGUGCAAGCGUUAAUCGGAAUUACUGGGCGUAAAGCGCACGCAGGCGGUCUGACAAGUCAGAUGUGAAAUCCCCGGGCUUAACCUGGGAACUACAUUUGAAACUGUCAGGCUGGAGUCUUGUAGAGGGGGGUAGAAUUCCAGGUGUAGCGGUGAAAUGCGUAGAGAUCUGGAGGAAUACCGGUGGCGAAGGCGGCCCCCUGGACAAAGACUGACGCUCAGGUGCGAAAGCGUGGGGAGCAAACAGGAUUAGAUACCCCAGUAGUCCCUGUCUCUUAUAC
rnacentral:rRNA from 1 species